GAUGAACGCUGGCGGCGUGCUUAACACAUGCAAGUCGAACGGAAAGGCUCCUGCUUGCAGGGGUACUCGAGUGGCGAACGGGUGAGUAACACGUGGGUGAUCUGCCCUGCACUUCGGGAUAAGCCUGGGAAACUGGGUCUAAUACCGGAUAGGACGAUGGUUUGGAUGCCAUUGUGGAAAGUUUUUCGGUGUGGGAUGAGCUCGCGGCCUAUCAGCUUGUUGGUGGGGUAAUGGCUACCAAGGCGUCGACGGGUAGCCGGCCUGAGAGGGUGUACGGCCACAUUGGGACUGAGAUACGGCCCAGACUCCUACGGGAGGCAGCAGUGGGGAAUAUUGCACAAUGGGCGCAAGCCUGAUGCAGCGACGCCGCGUGGGGGAUGACGGCCUUCGGGUUGUAAACUCCUUUCGCUAGGGACGAAGCGCAAGUGACGGUACCUGGAGAAGAAGCACCGGCUAACUACGUG
rnacentral:rRNA from 1 species